rnacentral:rRNA from 1 species
CCUACGGGCGGCAGCAGUGGGGAAUAUUGGGCAAUGGGCGCGAGCCUGAACCAGCCAAGUAGCGUGAAGGAUGACUGCCCUACGGGUUGUAAACUUCUUUUAUAAAGGAAUAAAGUGAGGCACGUGUGCCUUUUUGUAUGUACUUUAUGAAUAAGGAUCGGCUAACUCUGUGCCAGCAGCCGCGGUAAUACGGAGGAUCCGAGCGUUAUCCUGAUUUAUUGGGUUUAAAGGGAGCGUAGAUGGGUUUGUAAGUCAGUUGUGAAAGUUUGCGGCUCAACCGCAAAAUUGCAAUUGAUACUGGCAGUCUUGAGUACAGUUGAGGUAGGCGGAAUUCGUGGUGUAGCGGUGAAAUGCGUAGAUAUCACGAAGAACUCCGAUGGCGAAGGCAGCUUACUAAACUGCCACUGACAUUGAUGCUCGAAAGUGUGGGGAGCAAACAGGAUUAGAUACCCUGGUAGUC